rnacentral:tmRNA from 2 species
GGGGGUGUUUAGAUUCGAUUACAGGGAAAUUAGAUGUAUGCAGUUAGAGGAUAAUGGUUGGCCUCUUUAAUCAUCCAUUAAAAAUAUAAUCGUCGAAGAUUACGCAAUCGCUGCUUAAGUAAAAGCAGCAUGCUGAAAGAAUGACUCAGAUAAUUCUGGAAGCAUCAUUUAUCUGAUAGUCGCAAAUAGCUGAAAGUCGCUGGUUAAGCUGAUGAAUAUUUGGACGAAAUGACCGUGACCAGACGUGUUAAUCAAUUGUUUAUGUGUUUACUGAUUAACAAUGAAAUUAAAACACUUAGAUUUGACAUAAAUCUUUAAAAAAUGUCUAAAACUGUGAAUGAAUACAUUUUUAAUUUGUUUGUAAGACGCGGGUGCAACUCCCGCCACUUCCACCA